AACGAACGCUGGCGGCAGGCCUAAAACAUGCAAGUCGAACGAUCUAGCAAUAGAUAGUGGCGCACGGGUGAGUAACACGUGGGAAUAUCUCUUUCACUACGGAACAACGUCGGGAAACUGACGCUAAUACCGUAUAAUGUCUCCGGACCAAAGAUUUAUCGGUGAAAGAUUAGCCCGCGUCUGAUUAGCUAGUUGGUGAGGUAACGGCUCACCAAGGCAACGAUCAGUAGCUGGUCUGAGAGGAUGAUCAGACACACUGGAACUGAGACACGGUCCAGACUCCUACGGGAGGCAGCAGUUAGGAAUAUUGGACAAUGGGGGCAACCCUAAGCCAGCCAUGCCGCGUGUGUGACGAAGGCCUUAGGGUUGCAAAGCACUUUCGUCUACGAAGAUAAUGACAGUAGUAGAAGAAGAAGCUCCGGCUAAAUUCGUGCCAGCAGCCGCCGUAA
rnacentral:rRNA from 1 species